rnacentral:rRNA from 1 species
GACGAACGCUGGCGGCGCGCUUAACACAUGCAAGUCGAACGGAAAGGCCUGCUUUCCCUUGUGGAUUGCGGGUACUCGAGUGGCGAACGGGUGAGUAACACGUGAGUGAUCUGCCCCCAACUUGGGUAUAAGCCUGGGAAACUGGGUCUAAUUCCCGAUAGGACUGCAGGGUGGUGCCUGUGGUGGAAAACGAUUUUCUAGUGGUUGGGGAUGAGCUCGCGGCCUACCAGCUUGUUGGUGGGGUAAUGGCCUACCAAGGCGGCGACGGGUAGCCGGCCUGAGAGGGUGGACGGCCACAUUGGGACUGAGAUACGGCCCAGACUCCUACGGGAGGCAGCAGUGGGGAAUAUUGCACAAUGGGCGGAAGCCUGAUGCAGCGACGCCGCGUGGGGGAUGACGGCCUUCGGGUUGUAAACUCCUUUCGACCGCGAGGAAGCCACCUGGUUGGAAGGGUGGUGACGGUAGUGGUAGAAGAAGCGCCGGCUAACUACGUG